rnacentral:lncRNA from 1 species
GUGAGAAAGGCCUCUGAGAACUGGAACUCACGUUGGGCCUCAACUACAGAGGGAAGAAGAGGAGGGACACCAGAAGUAGCAUGAACAGUAUGUAUAAAGGUCUAAGAACAGGAAGUAAGCCUGUUCUGCCCAAAAUAGAGAGCCAGGAAAUGGUAUGGGCACACGGUGCUCCCAGGGGGCUGUAACUGACUGUGUAGCCUGCCUUUCCUCCUGUGGGAAGCUCUCUUGAGAGCACUUCAGGAUGCAAGACAUCGGGCAACCAAGCAGCUGUGCUUCACAGUUGGACCACACCAAGCUUCUGCCUAUGCAGCCAUAAUUGAUGUUAUAAUCAGGAAAAGCAUUACAGGGAGGGGACAGCAAAUUUCCCGUGAAAAGGAGAUGGCUGGGUUGCUGACACAGGCUACAUCAUUGCAGAACCCUGAGAGCAGGGAAGAUGCAGACAGAAUCUGAAUCAUCCAACAUGAUGGUUAUAUUUCCUACCUCUCCCUCUCCCAUCCCUCUUCUUGAGGAAUUCAGGAGUCACACACAGAACUUCUCAUUUGGUGUCUCACAAUCAAGCCAGGGUCUCAGGUCAGAAGGAAUCAUAGUGGCUCCAGUGACACCCUGCUCAGCAGCUCUGGGCCCUCAGGCACCUUCCCAUCCCCAAGAUGCUUGGUGUCUGUAAGAAGCUUUCAGACCACAGUUAAAGGAACGGAGUAUGGAGCCUGUCCUUCAGAAAAUCAACUCGUGGAAGUAACCAAAGUUCCUGUGGGUAUUGGCUGCAAAAGUGGGUCACUAUGCAGUGGGUGGCUAAAAAAAGGAAAGAUCCAUUUCAGGAACCUAGAGUCGGUUGUUGCUUUGGAACUGAAUAUCUCCUGGGGAAGACCUGGAAAACUCACGCAGGCUGAUGGGGCCAUAGGACUCCAUACAUGAACUAAUCAGCCAAAAACAAACAAACAAAAAACAAACCUGGCAGAAAUCAAGAAAGCCUGAAAGACCCCUCUACCUACCCUACUACCAUGGCCUCCACUGAGUUUUUGCCUGGAGCCAUGCCUGAGAGCCAAGGCUGGAAGUGUUUGAGAUGGGCAUGAUGGAACUGUAUGGACUUCUGUUUUCUGGGUUGCUUCCUUCCAAACUGCUCCAUUUCCCAUGAAGUGGGACACACCAUGGAGAGCUAACACUAAGUUCCAAGAAAGACAAUAUGUGACUCAUAGGAGGAAGGAUGUACUCUUGGGCCCUUCUCUCUAAGAGGUAUUUAGAGAUAGAACCCAGCAAGUAAGACCCAUGUUAUCCUCUCAAUAGAACUAAUCAUCAGCCUUAUAAAGUCUUGUUAUCUGCCAUGGCUUGAUUAUGAGACCCACAUUUUGGAUGCUUGGUCCCAACCUGGUGGUACUAUUUUGGAAGGUUCUCAAGAUUUUGAGAGGGGGAAGAAGUGGGCCACUUCCUAGGGAGGUGGGUCUUAGUGGUCUAUCAUCCCUAGCCUGUCUUGCACUCUGAAUAGCCAUUCUCCACCAUGCUUUCAUGCCUUCUUUUCAACUGCAUGGGGUCCAAGCAACCAUAGAAUUAGCAUUCUGAAUCUGUGAGCCAGAGCAUAUUUUUUCCUCCCUUAAAUUAUUUUUUGGCUGUCAUGACACAAAACCAACCACCGUGGUUUGAUGGAAAAUAUCCUCCAUAGGUUCAUGAAUUUGAACAAUUGGUUGCCAGUUGGUGGCGCUGUUUGGAGAGGCUGUAAAGCCUUUAGGAGAUGGAGCCUUGAAGGAGGAAGUCAGUCACUGAAGCAGGCUCCGGGAGUUCCUAUCCUUGGCCCACUUCAGUUCCGUUUCUUCUUUCUGUUAGCUGUUCUUCAAUGUGUGAUAGAUAUCCAAGAUGUGCAAGCUAAGCUUCAUGUUCCAGCCACCAACUGCCAUGCCUCUGCUGCCAUUACAGACUCCUACCCCUGGAACUGUAGCCAAAAUAAACACCUCCAUAAUUUGCUCCUGGCCACAGUAUUUUAUUACAGCAACAGAAAAGCAAUUAAGACAGUAAAUAAAAAUAAAAAAGUAUAAAUAAAAAAAAACUGGAUCUAAAAGUGGAGUUAUUAUAACCACACCUAACAUUGCAGUUUUUAAGCCUUUGGAAUUAGUUUUCCAAAAACUCUU